UACAGAGGUCCCAAGCGUUGUUCGGAUUCACUGGGCGUAAAGGGUGCGUAGGUGGUGGGGUAAGUCUGAUGUGAAAUCUCCGAGCUCAACUCGGAAAUGGCAUUGGAAACUACCUUGCUCGAGGGUUGGAGGGGGGACUGGAAUACUUGGUGUAGCAGUGAAAUGCGUAGAUAUCGGGAGGAACACCAGUGGCGAAAGCGGCCGGCUGGGCCUGUCCUGACGCUGAGACGCGAAAGCGUGGGGAGCGAACCGG
rnacentral:rRNA from 1 species